UACAGAGGGGCAAGCGUUGUUCGGAAUUACUGGGCGUAAAGGGCGCGUAGGCGGCCUGUUAAGUCGAACGUGAAAUCCCCGGGCUCAACCCGGGAACUGCGUCCGAUACUGGCAGGCUUGAAUCCGGGAGAGGGAUGCGGAAUUCCUGGUGUAGCGGUGAAAUGCGCAGGAUAUCAGGAGGAACACCGGUGGCGAAAGGC
rnacentral:rRNA from 1 species